AUGGAAACAUACAAAGACAUAUUUUAUGAUAAGGAAAAAAAAUUCUUUUUACAUUUAAUGAUUUAUGUGAGUAGAUUUUUUAUGAAUGAUGAAGAAAUUGUAGUAUUUGAUUUAUUUGUUCAUAAUGAAUGUUUAUAUUUAGAAAAAGAUAUAAUAAGCAUAAUUAAUAUGAAUGAGCAAAAAGUAAGAAGUAUAUUAUCAAAACUAUUAAAAGAGAAAUUCAUUAUUCAAGUACAAAAAUACAAAAAUAAUGAAAAAGGAUCUAGCUAUCAAACUUAUUACUGCUUGAAUAAUUACAUUGUAUAUGUAAUAGACUUUAGAAUAAAAAAAAUGGAAAACGAAUUAAAAAACAAAAAAAGUGAAAACGACGUAUAUAUAUGUAACGCUUGCAAUGCGACUUAUUCGCAGCUGGAUGCACAACUACUACCAUUAGAUUCGUAUGAUGCUCAUUUUUUAUGUUUUUGCAACAACAAAAUUGAGCUAAUAGAAAAAGACGAAUAUAACAAUGAAAUCCUUUAUAACAAAUACAUGAAAUAUUUAAAUAUAUUAAAAGAGCACAUAGAAAAAUUAAAAAACUAUUUUAUACCCCUAUAUACAGAAAAGAUAAACAAAUACAACACCAAUACGUUAGUAUCAGAUUGCUCUUCAGAUAAUAACUCAUUAACUUAUAAUUCGUCAGAAGUGUCAUACACAAAUUAUUCUUCUGUGGUAUCACAUGGUAAGGAGACCCACAACGGUACUCACACAUGCAUAUGUGUAUGUGUCUAUAUGUGUAUGUUCGUGAGUAAAUAUACAUGCAUAUGUUCCUAUUUUUGCAUGUGCGAAUUUAUUUUCCUAAUUAUAGGCAACAACAGUAAAGUAAUUGAUAAUGAAACAAAAAAAAAAGAAGACCUAAAUACUACUGCUCAUAAUAAUAGUAUUAUAAAAAAAGACAAAAAAAUAAAAAUAUGCAUGAACAUGAACAAUAAAAACAAUGUAAAGACCCCAAAUAACAAUGGUAUCGUAAAGAUAUCAAGCAUGAUACAUAAUCAUAAAGAAGAAAGUAUACAUAAUAAAAAGAAUAAAGAAAACCAUAAAAUUAAUAACAUCAAUAAUAAUAGUAACAAAAAUAGGAACAGCAAUAGUAUCAAUCAUAGUAAUAGCUCUAAUACGCUAUUACAAGAAAAUAAUAUAACUAACAACAAUAUGCAAGUAGAAGAAGAAACAAACAAAUCUGAAAUGCCACUGUUUUAUAUUCAGAAGUUUGACAAAUCUUUCAAGCUCAUUGGUAAUAACUUCUUUGUUUUUUUGUGACUUGCAUAAAUACAUACGUACGUGUACAUAUGUAUAUGUACAUAUAUUAUUCGUUCAUAUGUAUAUAUAUCUUUUUUUUUUUUUUUUUUUUUUUUCAGAGGCACAAAAAUUACAACAAGAUAUGACACACGAGGAAUUCGAAACCUUUAUACAACUACAAGAUGAGUACCUGGAUCAGAUAUAAGAGGUACAAAAUGAGUAGUGUGUGCAUUAUUAAAUGUAUAAAAAAAAAAAUAUAUAUAUAUAUAUCACAAAUUGUUUCCUUAACUUAAGGAACGAUUUAUAGACCGAAAAAAAGGAACCGAAAUAAACAAAUUUGCUUUUUAUAUUUGUCA
rnacentral:lncRNA from 1 species